rnacentral:lncRNA from 10 species
ACAACCUCUUUCUACAUAAUGAAGUUUACUACAGAGAAAUUUACAGGAAAAAUAUUCAGUAAACACUAAAAUACCAAAUAUUUGCAUCUCUAUCAAUGAUCAUCUGGUCUCUCUCCCUAAAAUCCUAUAACUGUACAUUUUAACAUAGCUGUAAACACAGUGUGUGCACGCGGUUUUGUGUUUUUACUUUCUUCACCUAACAUAUCGCAUGCAUAUUUCCAUAAUGGAAUACACAAUACAGUUUUAAAGCCCACAGACGGUUUAACAUAUUGAUGUAUUUAGUGAAUAUUUUAAUACCACUUUUCUGUGCUGAAGCUAAUAUCCUAACAUCUGCCAAUUGGAAGUAAUUUUUAACUGAAUUAAACAUGUAUGUACUUGUUUCCCAGGACACACAAGCCUAAAAGAUGAACGAUACGGUGUUUAUACUUCUCCCUAGGAAGAGCCAUAGGCCUUGGGCCCCAUCAAGGACUCUUCAGUGUUUGAAUUUUAAGAUUUGCCUCCAGUAUGAAACGAGAGGACUUUGCCUUCACUACUCAGCUUGAAGAAAGAGGAAGAGAUUUAUUUGGGGUGGAGAAUGUGAAGCCAUCCCAGUGACUGCCUCUUCCACAAAUUGUCUUUCUGUUCCAAGGCAAUGACCUCAGUGUUGUCAACUAGGAGGCACCUGAGCUAGUAAGGAGAAGCCAAGCAAGAGAGAGAUUUGCCUCAUCCCCACUGGUUAAAUAGUUUGCUCAUAAAAAAUUUCGGAAAUAUAUUUAUUAAGGAUAACUAUGUGCAACAGUUUCUAAAAUGUCAUUUGGGAUGUUGCAUGAGUGAUCAAUGUUAGGGUGGCAUGAAAAUCCUGAACUGUAGCUAGCAGGCUUUAGCAGCUGAAGGCAUUUUGUUUAAUACUGUAAAUACAGUACCAGAGUUUAACUGCAUUGACGAUUAUUUUACUGCUGACCCAUGGACCACAGAGUGGUUAAAAGCAAGGGCAUUUGAGGCAGGUGGCCUGAGGGUUCAUGUCCCUGCUGCAUCAUUUACAAUCUCCAUGACCAUGGGCAAGUUACUUAACUUCUGUAAGCCUUAGUUUUCUCCCCAUAAGUUAAAAUAAAGCUGUACCUUCCUUAUGAGUUUGGUAAGACAAAUACCUUAGACAGUGCAUAUAAAGUAAUUAACACCAUGCCUUGAAUGCAGUAGUUGCUCCAAAAAUAUUAAUUAUUGCCACUACCAUUCUACUAUCAUUACAAUUGUUAUUUUUUCAUAUAUUUGCUCAAAAAUACAGUGGAAAUGUAAGCAUGUAAACGUUAUUGUGUUCAGUAUAAUAUACAAACAUUAGCAUAAGUAUUUCCUUUCUCAUGAGCUUUUGCAGAGAUCACCUGCUAAUGAAUGUGGAAAAAUAGAAAUAAAUUUAGAACAUUUCUGUAGAAUCAAAGUUAUUUUCAGGUUCUCUAACACUUGAAAACAAUAAAAGCAUUAAAAAAAUUUUAUCGCAGAGAACUCCCUUAAAUCAAAUGCUUUGAAAUAUUUUAAAGAAAUGCUAAUUUGGAGAUCUUAAAAAAGAAUGAGAUCUAAAAGAUAUCAGAUGGCAGACCAAAAGAAAACUGGGCAUAAUUUUCCAAAAAAAAUAUUUUAUACUCUGUCCUUCAUUUUCAUUUAUUUUGGGGUAAGUUUCCAUGGAGUUCUAUCUUUGUGGAGUAAUUGAACUAGGCUGAUGUCUAAAAAGCAAGAAAAUAUUCUAGAAAAUUAAGCCUGAAAGCUAACAUAACUUUCCCUCUUGAAGCAUUUAAGAAGAUGGGAUUUCUCAAACCGGUAAUCAAAGAUUACCUGGAUCAGAGUCACCUGGGGGCAUUUGUUAACAAGGCCGAUUCCUAAACCCCAGAGGCCACACUAAAUCAGAGUGUUGUCCCAGUAAUACACAUCUUAAAAAGAGUCUCUUUACAUUGUUUGUCAUUUUGAUAAAUGCUGGGUGAAUAAAUACCUUCUUUGGAUAUUUUAAAGGAAAGCACUUCUUUUGCUAGUAUUUAUUUUAAGUGAAAGAUCAUCAUGGCCAGGUUUUUUAAAUUAUUGUUAUUCAUUUUUGGCUUUACAAGGCUGGCGAAUAUGCUUCUCAUUUCUGGCUACAGCCAAGCAUUAGAAAUGGGUCAUCACAGCGUUAAUGAAGGAGUGCACUGAAAUAAAGGUGUGAGGUAGGGGCAUUUCCUAUGCAGUGCCUGUGCGGUUGCUUGCCUGUUCAAUCAUGUGUUCAUUUAUACCUCCAAGACAUUUCUUAAUUGAAUCAGGUCUAUUUAACCCAGUCCAUAUAAUACCUAAAAGCAGCCUUAUAUACAUAUAUAUGGGAUCUCAGAUAACAGGCAGAACGUGAGGGAGAACAUUAGCUGUCUCUAUGCAAAAAUUUUUAAAUGGAUUAUUAAUGAAACAUUAAAACCAGUCUUCAAAGGACAGCAUUUUUUUACAUGAUCCCCAUAGGCUGUAUCUUUUUUGCAAUAAAUCUAUUUGUGUAAAUUGGGAGCCAUAGUCUGUCAGAUCUGUGAGUAGCAUUUCCACAUACAGUGUUAGAAGAAUCAUUGAAAGAAAGAUGCUAGAUUUGAGAAAGAUGAAAGAAAAAAACAUUAAAAUGGCCUAAUAAAAUUUCAAUUUGCAAAAUAUGAUUUUAUACAUUUUCAU